rnacentral:rRNA from 1 species
UACGAAGGGGGCUAGCGUUGUUCGGAAUACUGGGCGUAAAGCGUGCGCAGGCGGCUGCUCAAGUCAGGGGUGAAAGCCCAGAGCUCAACUCUGGAAUUGCCUUUGAGACUGAGAGGCUUGAGUACGGGAGAGGUGAGUGGAAUUCCCAGUGUAGAGGUGAAAUUCGGUAGAUAUUGGGAAGAACACCAGUGGCGAAGGCGGCUCACUGGACCGUAACUGACGCUCAUGCACGACAGCGUG